CCCCAACUUUUGCUGCCUGUCUCUUGCCUGGUUCCCUUGCGGAAGCUGGCGACCAUGUUGUCAGUCAGCUCCUAUGGAGAGGCUCAGUUCUUAGAAAUUUAAUGAGAAAAAUUCUAUGAAUAUACAUGUUGAUACAAAGAUACCUCCUUAUUGCCUACAAUAAUGCCAGGAUAUAUUCAAGGUUAUUGACCCCAAGGAACUGAAGUAGUAUUGAAACGGAGCGGAACCCUGUAGUGCUUGCCCUCCAUGUUUCAGGCUGCCUUUUGUCUGCGGAAAAACUUUAGCCACAGAAUAAGUUUAAUCAGAAAAGUGAGAAAACACAAAAACAAAGAAAAGCAGUUGAAUAGGACAAACAAUAAUACUUUGACCAGUAAGCAAAGUCAAGGGCCUUUCUUUCCUCCUUAAAGAUAAUAUUCUGAGCCAUAUCCUGUGAGCUGUCUUAUAGACACUGAAAUCUCCACCAGGUGGAAGAAGUUAACUAUACUAUGAUCAGACUGUAGCCACGACAUAAGCUGCAACAGUUCUGAGAAUUGGCCUCGAAGAAAUGGGAACAAUCCAACCCAGGAACUAAAGAUUUGCUGUAUUUAAAAUGAUCAAGAAGAAACUGGUCAGACCACUGAUGACCAAUUUCAAGAUGAUCAUCACCACUGACCGUGUUGUUUCUACAUGGAGCCCCCUCCCUCCACCUAUAAAAGCUCUUGCCCACUGGUUGUCAGGGGGUGGGAGUCAGCCUUUGGGAUAGAGGCAGUGAAAAUGGUUACAUUUGGCAUACCAUCGUAGGCUGACUUAAGACACAGCCUCUAAUCAAACCAGUCUUCCCUGACCCCUGGUAUUAGAAUUGUUUACUUUUAUACCAAGAAGAGAGGGGCGACACCAAAGUCUACAUGUGGC
ensembl:lncRNA